rnacentral:rRNA from 1 species
UACGGAGGGUGCAAGCGUUAAUCGGAAUUACUGGGCGUAAAGCGUGCGCAGGCGGUUAUGUAAGACAGAUGUGAAAUGCCCGGGCUUAACCUGGGAACUGCAUUUGUGACUGCAUGGCUAGAGUUUGGCAGAGGGGGGUAGAAUUCCACGUGUAGCAGUGAAAUGCGUAGAUAUGUGGAGGAACACCGAUGGCGGAGGCAGCCCCCUGGGUCAAGACUGACGCUCAUGCACGAAAGCGUGGGGAGCAAACAGG